GUCUGCACAGUACUUUGGAAAUGGAAACGAAACGUGCGAGCGCGAAUUGGUGCAAAUGAAUUAAACAGCCCACGCCUGUUACUGUUAGUACUUUGUACUUUUUAGAUAAAAUUAUUUCUACGUACUAGGAUAAUUGGUACAAGAUUCAUCUCUUUUCUAUUGUCUGUAUGGAUAAAUCAUUUACGUUGAGCAACAGCCCAUCACCAGUGAAGAAAUCUGGAAAUGCUCAGCGGGCAUUUGAAUUAGCGGGUGAGUUGUAUAGUCUUGUGCAACAAUGGUACCUUUUAAUCUCCACUGGCAGAAACAUCAUAAACAACAUUUUACAGCUAAAAGCUGUAUCAUGGAACAAUCCAGAACUUUCUGUGAGCAACAAUGAAUUAGAAUCCCAAUGUGAUUUACUUGGAUCAGUUGUUUGUGAAAUGGAAAUGCUUCCCAAACAAUUAGAGAAAAUAAGAGAUCAAUAUGUGGCACUAGAAAAACUUGGAGAACUGCAACAAAAGAUGGGAUCAAGUACAAGUGAUUCUUCCACAUUUGUUCUGUUUCUCACUUGGUCAACUUCUAAAUUUGUUGCAGUUGUCACCUUAAUUAAAGAUGCUUUUGCCAAAGAGCUUCAAGUGAAAAAAUGUAUUGCAGAAAAUGUAGCUCAUUGCCAGCAAAAACAAAUGCUUGACUUGCAUAAAAUAAGUUGGGUUCAUCAAGUAUAUGUAACUCCUGAUGUUAAACUCCAAUUAGAAUCACUUUUGGUUGAAACUGGUCAACGCUGAAGGAAAUUUAAUUGCGUUUGAGGUAUGAAUAUACAUGGGCUAUUUUGAAAAAAAUUGCAGUCUUUUUGAAGUUUGUAAUUGAAUAAUUUUAAGAAUCUUAAAAAUAUCUUAGUUUAAUAAUAGUGGAUACUGAGUCUGUUUAUCUUCUUCCUUUCCAAUAGUAUAGUAUUUAUUUUUUAAAUGUGUCCAUGCAUGUUACAUCAAAAUAUCUGAUUUAUUUCCAAGCUAAUCGUUGCAGGAGUGAAUGAAUGAAAAACAAAUAUAUAUCAGGUUAUCGCGAAAUUUUAUUGAUUUAAAUAGUUUAAAAACUUAUUUAAAUCAUUACUUCGGAAUAGUUUCUCUAUUGCAGAAAUUGCCUCGAUCUAAUAUAUAUAUAUUAUUUAAAGGUCACACCCAAGACGUUCUA